rnacentral:rRNA from 1 species
UACGUAGGCAGCAAGCGUUGUUCGGAAUUACUGGGCGUAAAGAGUGUGUAGGCGGUGCUCUAAGUUUGGUGUGAAAUCUCCCGGCUCAACUGGGAGGGUGCGCCGAAAACUGGAAUGCUUGAACGUGGGAGAGGAAAGCGGAAUUCCUGGUGUAGCGGUGAAAUGCGUAGAUAUCAGGAGGAACACCUGCGGUGUAGACGGCUUUCUGGACCAUUGUUGACGCUGAGACGCGACGGCGUGGGGAGCAAACCGG